rnacentral:rRNA from 1 species
UGGCCUGGCGCAGCUUUCCAUGCAGUCGACGGCAGCGCGGGCUUCGGCCUGGCGGCGAGUGGCGAACGGGUGAGUAAUGCAUCGGAACGUACCCAGUCGUGGGGGAUAACACAUCGAAAGAUGUGCUAAUACCGCAUACGUCCUGAGGGAGAAAGCGGGGGACCUUCGGGCCUCGCGCGAUUGGAGCGGCCGAUGUCAGAUUAGCUAGUAGGUGGGGUAAAGGCCCACCUAGGCGACGAUCUGUAGCGGGUCUGAGAGGAUGAUCCGCCACACUGGGACUGAGACACGGCCCAGACUCCUACGGGAGGCAGCAGUGGGGAAUUUUGGACAAUGGGGGCAACCCUGAUCCAGCCAUGCCGCGUGAGUGAAGAAGGCCUUCGGGUUGUAAAGCUCUUUCGGCCGGGAAGAAAUCGCGCAUUUUAAUAGGGUGCGUGGAUGACAGUACCGGACUAAGAAGCACCGGCUAACUACGUGCCAGCAGCCGCGGUAA